GAUAGCUCAGUCGGAAGAUCAUGAGCCUCUUAAUCUCAAGGUCGUGGGUUUGAAUCCCACGUGGGGCG